rnacentral:rRNA from 1 species
AUACCCUAUUAUUUUUAAUGUGAAAGAAAUAAAAGCUGGAAUAGUAGUAGAAAUGGUCUAAAAAUUUAAAGAAUUUGGCGGUAUUAUAGGUCUAUUCAGAGGAAUCUGUUACGUAAUCGAUCAUCCCCGUUGAACCUUACUUAUAUUAAUUCCUGUAUAUCGCUGUUGAGAUUAUAGUAUUAGCUUAUAAUCAAGAAGAAUUAAUAUUAGUUCCUCAAGUCAGGGAGCUGAAGAUAUAAAUAAAUAACGGAUUACAAUAUAUUGUAUUUAUACGAAUUGAGAUUGA